rnacentral:rRNA from 1 species
UACGAAGGGGGCUAGCGUUGCUCGGAAUCACUGGGCGUAAAGCGCACGUAGGCGGAUUGUUAAGUCAGGGGUGAAAUCCUGGAGCUCAACUCCAGAACUGCCUUUGAUACUGGCGAUCUCGAGUCCGGGAGAGGUGAGUGGAACUGCGAGUGUAGAGGUGAAAUUCGUAGAUAUUCGCAAGAACACCAGUGGCGAAGGCGGCUCACUGGCCCGGUACUGACGCUGACGGUGCGAAAGCGUGGGAGCAACA